rnacentral:rRNA from 1 species
UACGUAGGGACCGAGCGUUGUCCGGAAUCAUUGGGCGUAAAGAGCGUGUAGGCGGCCACUUAAGUCCUGCGUGAAAUCUUGCGGCUCAACCGCAAGCGGUCGUGGGAAACUGGGUGGCUAGAGUGUGGGGGAGGAGAGUGGAAUUCCUGGUGUAGCGGUGGAAUGCGCAGAUAUCAGGAAGAACACCCGUGGCGAAGGCGGCUCUCUGGAACGCAACUGACGCUGAGACGCGAAAGCGUGGGGAGCAAACAGG